CACGUAGUUAGCCGGGGCUUUCUUCUCCUAUACCGUCACGCACAGGGCAGUUACUCCCCAUGCUGUUCGUCUAGGGCAACAGAGCUUUACGAUCCGAAAACCUUCAUCACUCACGCGGCGUUGCUCCGUCAGGCUUGCGCCCAUUGCGGAGGAUUCCCUA
rnacentral:rRNA from 1 species